GAAAUGCGAUACGUAAUGUGAAUUGCAGAAUUCAGUGAAUCAUCAAAAUCUUGAACGCACCUUGCGCCUUGAGGUCACUCAAGGCAUGCCUGUUUCAGGGUCAGUUUAUAACUCUCCACAAAUACCAAUGUGGGAUAUGGCAGUUGCGGGACAAGUGCCUCCAUCUGCUGAAAGUGAUGAGCCCACCAGCAUACCGAGCAGUUUACUGCGCACGGCUGGGCAUCGAUGAGUUUUGAACGCGGCAUAGCCCGUACACGUCUCAUCAACCCAGUUGCUAGUGGUAAGCCUCUUGUGUUGGUAGGUGGCCAAAAAACAAUACUGCUUAACAACAGCGUAUUGGCACUUCCUAUUUUCACCUUUGACCUGAAAUCAGGUAGGGCAACCCGCUGAAUUUAA
rnacentral:misc_RNA from 1 species